rnacentral:rRNA from 1 species
UACGUAGGGUGCAAGCGUUAAUCGGAAUUACUGGGCGUAAAGCGUGCGCAGGCGGUGAUGUAAGACAGUUGUGAAAUCCCCGGGCUCAACCUGGGAACUGGCAUCUGUGACUGCAUCGCUGGAGUGCGGCAGAGGGGGGAUGGAAUUCCGGCGUGUAGCAGUGAAAUGCGUAGAUAAUGCGGAGGAACACCGAUGGCGGAAGGCAACUCCCCUGGGCCUGGCACAUGGA